rnacentral:rRNA from 1 species
AAAACGACUCUCGGCAACGGAUAUCUCGGCUCUCGCAUCGAUGAAGAACGUAGCGAAAUGCGAUACUUGGUGUGAAUUGCAGAAUCCCGUGAACCAUCGAGUCUUUGAACGCAAGUUGCGCCCGAAGCCCCCGGGCCGAGGGCACGUCUGCCUGGGCGUCACGC